GAUGAACGCUGGCGGCGCGCCUAAUACAUGCAAGUCGAGCGAAUGGAUUAAGAGCUUGCUCUUAUGAAGUUAGCGGCGGACGGGUGAGUAACACGUGGGUAACCUGCCCAUAAGACUGGGAUAACUCCGGGAAACCGGGGCUAAUACCGGAUAACAUUUUGAACCGCAUGGUUCGAAAUUGAAAGGCGGCUUCGGCUGUCACUUAUGGAUGGACCCGCGUCGCAUUAGCUAGUUGGUGAGGUAACGGCUCACCAAGGCAACGAUGCGUAGCCGACUUGAGAGGGUGAUCGGCCACACUGGGACUGAGACACGGCCCAGACUCCUACGGGAGGCAGCAGUAGGGAAUCUUCCGCAAUGGACGAAAGUCUGACGGAGCAACGCCGCGUGAGUGAUGAAGGCUUUCGGGUCGUAAAACUCUGUUGUUAGGGAAGAACAAGUGCUAGUUGAAUAAGCUGGCACCUUGACGGUACCUAACCAGAAAGCCACGGCUAACCACGUGCCAGCCGCCGCGGUAA
rnacentral:rRNA from 1 species